CAUACUCUCGAAAACAGAGGGAUUUUUUGGCUUCACUCGCAAAAUUCUCUUCUUUGAUCUUGUUGAUUAACCAAUCUCCAAUCAAAUUACUGAUCAAACAAUAUUCAGUCAGAGGUGUUGAUUGAGAAAUCAAACCAACAAAUAAGAUAUUCUGAUCAAUCGGUGAGAAAUUGAGAGUCUUCUCCACCAAAGUCGAUGGUUAACCAAUCUCCAUCUGAUGAUCUUUGACUUGAGGAAUUAGAUAUAUUGAAGAACUGACGAAAAGGAAUGAGACGAGGGUGGAUGAGAGAUCGGUUGAUGAUAACGGAGAUAAGGCGAUAUUGGUUAGCAGAGAAAACGUAAUUGUGUUGACCACAAAGAGGGCACUGGUUGGUAUUAGUGCCCGUGCCUUGUUCUAUCCUACUCUGGUUUACAACGUUGUUAGGAAUAAGCUCGAGACUGUGUUUCGCUGGUGGGAUCGUGUCGAUGAGUUUAUAUUACUGGGAGCUGUUCCAUUCCCAUCUGAUGUUCCGCAGCUGAAAGAGCUUUGUGUCUGUGGAGUGAUCACACUAAAUGAGCCGUAUGAAACUUUGGUGUUCUGAAGGCUGCAGGUGGGCCACAUAGAUGAUGAUCCUCCGAUCAUGUUAUAUAAUCAUCCUUCUCUCUCGGGGUGGGGUGAUAGGCAUUAUGUUGUAUAUGCAAGAGAUAUGGCAACUGGAGAGAGCAAAGGAAUAAAACCAAUGCUACUAGGGAGACUGGCUUUUUUAGCCGGAAAACUUUUGCAGAAAUUGGAUGUAAUCAAGAUAUGAUGAAGGCCUUAAAUGAACAUAAUUUUGAUUGACGAUUUGGAUUCAUGGAGUCGUCUGAAUCCAUAUCCUACUUUGUUUGUGUGUGAUAAAAGGAGAAUGAAGAGAUUGCUAAAGGGUUAAUGUAGUGUGUUU